AACUUUUAACAAUGGAUCUCUUGGUUCUGGCAUCGAUGAAGAACGCAGCGAAAUGCGAUAAGUAGUGUGAAUUGCAGAAUUCAGUGAAUCAUCGAAUCUUUGAACGCACAUUGCGCCCCUCGGUAUUCCGUGGGGCAUGCCUGUUCGAGCGUCAUU
rnacentral:rRNA from 5 species